rnacentral:rRNA from 1 species
CGACGAUACGCGAGAAACCUUACCAGGGCUUGACAUAUACAGGAAUGUUGUAGAGAUACAGCAGCCGCUUGCGGUCUGUAUACAGGUGCUGCAUGGCUGUCGUCAGCUCGUGCUGUGAAGUGUUGGGUAAGUCCCGCAACGAGCGCAACCCUAUCAUCUGUUGCCAGCAUUUAAGGUGGGGACUCAGAUGAGACUGCCGGUGACAAACCGGAGGAAGGUGGGGACGACGUCAAGUCAUCAUGGCCCUUAUGUCCUGGGCUACACACGUGCUACAAUGGCCGGUACAGAGUGAAGCGAAACCGCGAGGUGAAGCAAAACGCAGAAAGCCGGUCUCAGUACGGAUUGGAGUCUGAAACUCGACUUCAUGAAGUUGGAAUCGCUAGUAAUCGCGCAUCAGCAUGGCGCGGUGAAUACGUUCCCGGGCCUU